rnacentral:rRNA from 1 species
GCCUAAUACAUGCAAGUCGAACGCACUCUCGUUUAGAUUGAAGGAGCUUGCUCUGAUUGAUAAACAUUUGAGUGAGUGGCGGACGGGUGAGUAACACGUGGGUAACCUGCCCUAAGUGGGGAUAACAUUUGGAAACAGAUGCUAAUACCGCAUAAAACCUAACACCGCAUGGUGUAGGUUGAAAGAUGGUUUCGGCUAUCACUUUAGGAUGGACCCGCGGUGCAUUAGUUAGUUGGUGAGGUAAAGGCUCACCAAGACCGUGAUGCAUAGCCGACCUGAGAGGGUAAUCGGCCACACUGGGACUGAGACACGGCCCAGACUCCUACGGAGGCAGCAGUAGGGAAUCUUCCACAAUGGACGAAAGUCUGAUGGAGCAACGCCGCGUGAGUGAAGAAGGUUUCGGAUCGUAAAACUCUGUUGUUGGAGAAGAAUGUAUCUGAUAGUAACUGAUCAGGUAGUGACGGUAUCCAACCAGAAAGCCACGGCUAACUACGUG